UCUUUUUUUUUUCUACAGCUCGUGCGCUGACACGUCUGCACUGAGUGAGUGGCAUUGGCACACUGUCAAUCGCUCACUACCGCUGCCAUCAAACAACAUAAAGCACACAGGCAAAGACUCGGGCUCAUAAAUUUCAGCAGGCAGAUAUUUUUGCGCAUCGCUUUACAGCUUGUAGACUAAUUAAUUUUCUCGCUGUUAUUUUUUCUAAUAUUUUCCCACUAAUGCUAUCAACUUUUUGUACAUUUCAUAUUUUUGUAUAAGUGCAAUUUGGCACUGAUGCCGCCAAUUAUUUAUUUUGAUAUUUUGUGUUCUUUGGGAAAUUAUUUUAGUAUAUUUACACUUGGCAAGUACAUUAUUUCUACCUAAAGUAGCCAAUAGUACAUUUUGCCUAUUUUCUUUUCAACAAAUUGCCAAAUUGGAUAUUUUGUUGGCUGUUAUUUAUGAUGGGGAUUUGAACAUUUUCAAGAGGAAUUGUACGAGAACGCAAAAGAAGAUCGUUAAUAAGCAGAUGAGCGAGGUGCGUCGGUACUCACCACAUCAAAUCAGAGAAAGACAAAUUGGCAAGAGGAUUCGUGCAGGAUACGAUGGACAGCGAUGGUCAUUUUGACAAAGAAGUUUUGAAAUAUUAAAAAUCUUAUGUAUCUUUGGACUAUAUUCACAGAUCAUCACUCUGAGGGUCGUGCGUAAAUAGAGAGUAUUGCAAGAAAGCGAUUACUUGGACACGAUAUUGACAUCAUCAAUGUACAAGUGCAUGGACUCUGUUGCGGCUACUAUGGAUGAACAAGCCCGGAUCAUGCAGUCUCUUGGCGGUGUCAGUUUGUCUGGCCACUCGGUACAAGGAGGCAUGGCACUGCCUCCGCCACACGGACAUGAUGGCACUGAUGGGGACGGAAGAAAACAAGACAUUGGUGACAUUCUUCACCAAAUUAUGACGAUAACUGACCAAAGUCUGGACGAGGCGCAAGCAAAGAAACAUGGACUGAACUGCCACAGAAUGAAGCCUGCACUCUUCAGCGUACUCUGCGAGAUCAAAGAAAAAACAGGU